GGUCUUUGGAUUAUGAUCUAAGAUUUGGCCUGCCCUAUGAUUAUUUAAAUGGCCGCAGUAUUUUGACUGUGCAAAGGUAGCAUAAUCAUUAGUUUUUUGAAUGGAAGCUGGAAUGAAUGGUUGGAUGAGAAAUUAGCUGUCUCGGGUUGAUUAUUUGAACUUUAUUUUUGAGUUAAAAAGCUCAGAUUUUAUUGAAAGACGAGAAGACCCUAUAGAGUUUUAUUAAGCUAAUUUUUGUUUAUUUUGGAAGGCAAUUUUYCAGGGAGAUGCUUAAUUUGAUUGGGGUGAUUGAAAAAUUGAGUAAACUUUUAUCUUUUAUUUACAUUGAUUUAUGUGAGUUUGAUCCACUGUGGUGAUUAUGAGACUAAACUACCUUAGGGAUAACAGCGUAAUUUUUCUGGAGAGUUCUUAUCGAUGGAAAAGAUUGCGACCUCGAUGUUGGAUUAAAAUAGGUAAAUGGUGUAGAAGCUAUUUGUUCGAGUCUGUUCGACUCUUAAAUUUUUACA
rnacentral:rRNA from 1 species